rnacentral:rRNA from 1 species
CGGGACGAAAAAGGGAUAUCGAACAAAUAUCCCCGAUGACGGUACCGUNAGAAUAAGCCAGGCUAACUCUGUGCCUAGCAGUCCGCGGUAAGACAGAGGUGGCAAGCGUUUGUUCGGAAUUACUGGGCGUAAAGAGUCUGUUAGGUGGUUUGUCAAGUCUUUGGUGAAAGGCCGUAGCUUAACUAUGGGAAUGCCAAAGAGACUGGCAGGCUGGAGGCUGGGAGAGGGAAGCGGAAUUUCUGGUGUAGCGGUGAAAUGCGUAGAUAUCAGAAGGAAGGCCGGUGGCGAAGGCGGCUUCCUGGAACAGUCCUGACACUGAGAGACGAAAGCGUGGGGAGCAAACAGGAUUAGAUACCCUGGUAGUCCACGCCCUAAACGAUGGGUACUAAGUGUGGAGGGGUUAAACCCUCCGUGCCGCAGCAAACGCAGUAAGUACCCCGCCUGGGGAGUACGGCCGCAAGGUUGAAACUC